rnacentral:rRNA from 1 species
AUUGAACGCUGGCGGCAGGCCUAACACAUGCAAGUCGAGCGGAUGAAGGGAGCUUGCUCCUGGAUUCAGCGGCGGACGGGUGAGUAAUGCCUAGGAAUCUGCCUGGUAGGGGGGGAUAACGUCCGGAAACGGGCGCUAAUACCGCAUACGUCCUGAGGGAGAAAGGGGGGGCUCUUCGGACCUCACGCUAUCAGAUGAGCCUAGGUCGGAUUAGCUAGUUGGUGGGGUAAAGGCCUACCAAGGCGACGAUCCGUAACUGGUCUGAGAGGAUGAUCAGUCACACUGGAACUGAGACACGGUCCAGACUCCUACGGGGGGCAGCAGUGGGGAAUAUUGGACAAUGGGCGAAAGCCUGAUCCAGCCAUGCCGCGUGUGUGAAGAAGGUCUUCGGAUUGUAAAGCACUUUAAGUUGGGAGGAAGGGCAGUAAGUUAAUACCUUGCUGUUUUGACGUUACCAACAGAAUAAGCACCGGCUAACUUCGUG